rnacentral:rRNA from 1 species
UACGGAGGGUGCAAGCGUUAUCCGGAUUUACUGGGUUUAAAGGGUGCGCAGGCGGAUAUGUAAGUCAGUGGUGAAAUCUCUAGGCUUAACCUGGAAAUUGCCGUUGAUACUAUAUAUCUUGAAUGUUGUGGAGGUAAGCAGAAUAUGUCAUGUAGCGGUGAAAUGCUUAGAUAUGACAUAGAAUACCUAUUGCGAAGGCAGCUUACUACGCAAUCAUUGACGCUGAGGCACGAAAGCGUGAGGAUCAAACAGG